GGGUUACUGCAGUUGAACAGGACAUGUUUUUCAUUCUAUCAGUGUAGUGUGUUUACUUCUAAAGUGGGUCUCUUGUAUAAAAUAUAUAAUUGAACCUUAGGUUUUAAGUUUAUUCUUCCAAGCUGUAUCUUCUAUGUGGUACUUUAAUCCAUUGGCAAAGUAACUACUAUAACUUAAAGGAAAGGGCUCACUGUUGCCAUUUUGGGUUUUUUUUUAUGUUUUCCAGUUUUUUGUCCUUCAUUUCUUCUUUUACUGUUUUUUUUUUUGUGUAGUUUAAAUGUCUUGUUUGAUUUACUUUCAAUUCUUUUGUAAUUGUAUAUGUGAUUUUUAUGAGGUUUACGUGAAACAUCCUAAAGUUACAGCAGUUUAUUUUAAACUAAUAGUUUCAAUCACAUACAAAGCUUCUUCUCUUUAUAGUUCUAGCCCUCUUUUUUACAUUAUCAAUGUUACAAAUAGCAUAUAAUGUGUGUCCAAUAACAAGUUUAUAACUUUUUAUGCUUUUCUAUUUUAAAUACUGUUAAGGAAUAAAAAGAAUUGUGAACCAAAAUUACAAUGAUGGCAGUUUUUCUAUUUGUGUGUUUAUUAUUAUAAGAAAAUUUAUAUUCUUAUGUGGCUUUGAGUUUAUGCUUAGUAUCUUUUCUUUACAACUUGAAGAAUUCCCUUCUGCAUUUCCUAUAAGGUAGGUCUGGGUAAUGAAUUUAACUACCUCUGCUUUCUUCAUUUAUUUCUCCCUCAUUAAAAAAUACAUUAUUUCAUAUAUGUGUGAUAUAUGUAUGCAAGGGCACUGCAUAGCACAUAUAUAAGUCAGAGGACAACUUUGGAGAAUCCGUUAUCUUCUACCUUUCAUGGAUUCUAGGGCUUGAACGCGUUCUGUCAGGCUGGCACAGUAAACACAUUACCUGCUGAACCCAGCAGCCCUCUGUUUUACCAGUCCUCUCACUCAUUGUUCAAGACCAGUUAUUGUAUGACAGUUUUCCUGGGAAGACAUAACAUCCACAUGUCUAAACACCACAAAUAGGGAGCUCAUGGCAAACCAAAUAUGGAUGCCAUUGAAGUCCAACUUGGUAAACCAAUGAGUUUUCAUGGGGUUACUUACAGGAGGAGAAAUGAUUCAAAGACAGCUGCAUCACCAAAGCCUACCCAGCAUGAACGACAGCUCACAAAAGCUGGAAAACUCAACAGGUUAGAGAGUGUCCUUACGAGAUACCUCAGUUGGUCUAAGGCCCUUCCAAGCAGCUCAGCCCGUCUCUGCUUCCUCCAUAAAGCUGCUCUAGUCUGUCUUCUUUGCAGCUUGUCUCAUCUGAGAGUGACACUCAACCAACUUUAUGCCUGGGAUGGAAGGGACUAGUAAAUCUGGUUAGUGUCAGGACUUCCUGAAGCUCUUUUGAGUUACUUACUUUCUGUUUUAAGGAGCUUCCCUGGGAGAUGUAAUGUGUCAAUCUCACCCAAAAGUCUAGGGCAUUUAAAUACGUGAUCUGCAGUUGGUGGUUGUUUGUGGAAAUUUAAAAGUGUGACCUUGCUAGAAGUAUAUUAUUGGAGGUGGGCUUUGAGGUUUCAAAAGACUCAUGCCAUUUUGAGUUAUCACCUUCUGUUUCCUGCUCUGGUUCAAGAUGUGCAGCUUUCAGCUGCUGCUCAUGUCUGCCACCUGCUGUCUUCACUCUGUCAUCAUGGACUCCAACCCUCUGAAACCGUAAGCCCAAAGUAAACCUCUUAUAAGUUGCCUUGAUUAUGGUGUUUUAUCACAGCAAUAGAAAAGUAACGAAUAUAGAAGUUGGUACCAGGAGUGGGAUAUUACUAUGACAGACUUGACCAUGUGGUUUGGGGAGCAUUGUAGAAGGCUUUGGAACUUUGGAUGAGAAAAACCAUUGAAUGCUGUAAGCAGAGCUUAAUGGUCCAUUCUAGUAGGAGCUUGCAAGAAAGUGCUUAAAGCAGCGUGGACUAUAGUGGCCUACCUCAAAAGAGUUUUCAGAGGGGAACAAUAUAAGCAGCUGAACUGUGGAAACCAUUCUUACAAUAUUUGACAAAGACUAUGGUCGCUUUCUGCCGUUUUCCUAAGAACUUACCUGAGGUUAAAGUUGAGUAGUAGUCUAAUGUCAUUGACAGAGAUUUCAAGACAGCCUAAUACUAACUCUGUUUUAUGGUUAUUAGGAAUUAUCAUUUUUGCAGGUCUACAGUGAAGAGCAAAUAGGGCAGAAAGAAAUAUAAAGUGUAGAGUUUGGAGAGGAAGAGGAUACUGGCAAGGUUAAUGUUACAACUGAGGCUUGUGCUGGAAGAGAGACCAAAACUGUUAAGGGUGGCCAAAUCUGCAUUUGAAUGGACAGAAGGCUGUCUUCAGGGCGAGACCCCACUCAGCUGAAUUUCAACUUGUGAAAGGAAGACCUAAGGAAUUAACAAAAACUGUUUACAAAUAUGACUCAAAGGCACCAGGAUUCAUGCCAAGUUGAUAACCAAACCUUGACAGUAUCAGCCAUCCACUUCUGGCAUCAGAGUCAUAAAGGAUACACAAGAAAAUGGGUUGUGGAAUCUUCCUCCACAGUUAAGGAGAGCCACUUGGCCCAGGCAUGUAGAAGUAAAGUCUGGGUUGCAUUGAUGACCACAAGAUGUUAGAGGUGCCAGAGCCAUGGAUAUCUGCCAAGGAGAACAUCAUACAAAAGUUGGAACCCACCCUGAGCAGAGAGAUCCAUCUUACAGGCAGCAAAGCCAUAUAAGUCCUUUGACAUCAGACAUGGAACUCCAGGAUUUGGAGGGGGUUCCAGUUAAAAGAUUGCUUUGAGUCUCAGAAACUUUGGACUUUUAAAGUGUAUUGAGACUGGAAGACUAUGGAGACUUUUGAGGUUUGACUAAAUGCACUUUGCAUUAUGAUAUGGCCAGGGAGAGGAAUGUGGUGGUUUCAAUGAGAUUUCCCUCAUAAGCUGAAGGCAUUUGAAUACUUGGUCCAUAGUUGGUGGCUAUCUCUGGAGGGUGUGACCUUCCUUGAAGAAGUAUAGCACUGGGAGUGGACUUUGAGGUUUUAAAAGAUUGAUACCAUUUUGAAUUAGCUCUCUUGUUUCCUGUUUGCAGAUCAAGAUGUGAGCUCAGUUGCUGCUCCUGCCUGCCGCGUGCUACCUUCACUCUGCCAUUGUGGAUUUUAAUCCUCUGGAGCUGUAAACCCCAAAUAAACUCUUGUCUUGGU